rnacentral:rRNA from 1 species
AUUGAACGCUGGCGGCAUGCUUUACACAUGCAAGUCGAACGGCAGCGCGGGCUUCGGCCUGGCGGCGAGUGGCGAACGGGUGAGUAAUGCAUCGGAACGUGCCCAGUAGUGGGGGAUAGCCCGGCGAAAGCCGGAUUAAUACCGCAUACGACCUGAGGGUGAAAGCGGGGGACCGAAAGGCCCCGCGCUAUUGGAGCGGCCGAUGUCGGAUUAGCUAGUUGGUGGGGUAAAGGCUUACCAAGGCGACGAUCCGUAGCUGGUCUGAGAGGACGACCAGCCACACUGGGACUGAGACACGGCCCAGACUCCUACGGGAGGCAGCAGUGGGGAAUUUUGGACAAUGGGGGCAACCCUGAUCCAGCCAUGCCGCGUGAGGGAAGAAGGCCUUCGGGUUGUAAACCGCUUUUGUUAGGGAAGAAAUCCUCUGGGCUAAUACCCCGGGGGGAUGACGGUACCGGAAGAAUAAGCACCGGCUAACUACGUG